rnacentral:rRNA from 1 species
UACGUAGGGUGCGAGCGUUAAUCGGAAUUACUGGGCGUAAAGCGUGCGCAGGCGGUUUUGCAAGCCGGAUGUGAAAUCCCCGGGCUUAACCUGGGAAUGGCAUUUGGGACUGCAAGGCUGGAGUGCGGCAGAGGAGACUGGAAUUCCUGGUGUAGCAGUGAAAUGCGUAGAUAUCAGGAGGAACACCAGUGGCGAAGGCGGCUACCUGGACCAGCACUGACACUGAGGCACGAAAGCGUGGGGAGCAAAACGG